rnacentral:tRNA from 1 species
GCCUCUGUGGUGUAGUUGGCUAUCACGCAGGUAAGUCUGUUUGAAUUCACACUGUUCAGGUAAAAAAUUAAUCUUUCCAAGGUCUCAUAAAUUAUGACCCAUCUCAGCUGGGGGAAUCCUGAGGUCACCAGUUCGAUCCUGGUCGGGGGCA